UGAAUACGAGACGCUAAGGCGUCGAAGUAGUGUAUGUCAUACUUCCAAGAAAAGCUUGCACUGUCAUAGAUAAAAAACGCCUGUACCAUAACCGACACAGGUGGGUAGGUAGAGUAUACUAAGGGGCGCGAGAUAACUCUCUCUAAGGAACUCGGCAAAAUAACUCCGUAACUUCGGGAGAAGGAGUGCCUUAUUCGUAAGGUUGCAAUAACAAGAUCCAAGCAACUGUUUAUCAAAAACACAGGUCUCCGCUAAGUCGUAAGACGAUGUAUGGGGGCUGACGCCUGCCCAGUGCCAGAAGGUUAAAGAAGUUGGUUAGCAAUUGCGAAGCUGAUAACUGAAGCCCUGGUGAACGGCGGCCGUAACUAUAACGGUCCUAAGGUAGCGAAAUUCCUUGUCGGGUAAGUUCCGACCCGCACGAAAGGCGUAAUGAUUUGGAUACUGUCUCGGAGAGGGGCUCGGUGAAAUAGACUUGUCUGUGAAGAUGCGGACUACCUGCACCAGGACAGAAAGACCCUAUGAAGCUUUACUGUAACUUGAAAUUGAAAUUGGACUUUAUUCGCGCAGUAUAGGUGGGAGGCGUUGAUUAUAAUCUUGUGGGAUUAUUGGAGCCAUCAGUGAGAUACCACUCUUGUAAUGUUAGAUUUCUAACUUUGAAUCAUUAUCUGGUCAAAGAACAGUUUCAGGCGGGCAGUUUGACUGGGGCGGUCGCCUCCUAAACGGUAACGGAGGCGUACAAAGGUUUCCUCUGAACGGUUAGAAAUCGUAUCUAGAGUGUAAAGGCAUAAGGAAGCUUGACUGUGAGACCUACAAGUCGAGCAGGGACGAAAGUCGGUCUUAGUGAUCUGACGGUACUGAGUGGAAAGGCCGUCACUCAACGGAUAAAAGUUACUCUAGGAUAACAGGCUGAUCUCCCCCAAGAGUUCACAUCGACGGGGAGGUUUGGCACCUCGAUGUCGGCUCAUCGCAUCCUGGGGCGGUAGUACGUCCCAAGGGUUGGGCUGUUCGCCCAUGAAAGCGGUACGCGAGCUGGGUUCAGAACGUCGUGAGACAGUUCGGUCCAUAUCCGGUGUAGGCGUUAGAAUAUUGAGAGGAGCCUUCUUUAGUACGAGAGGACCGAGAAGGACAUACCUCUGGUGUACCGGUUAUCGUGCCAACGGUAAACGCUGGGUAGCUAUGUAUGGAGUGGAUAACCGCUGAAAGCAUCUAAGUGGGAAGCCCACCUCAAGAUAAGUAUUCUCA
rnacentral:rRNA from 1 species